AGAGUUUGAUCCUGGCUCAGAUUGAACGCUGGCGGCGUGCUUAACACAUGCAAGUCGAACGAGAAAGGGACUUCGGUCCUGAGUAGAGUGGCGCACGGGUGAGUAACGCGUAGGUAAUCUACCUCUGCAUCUGGGAUAACACUUCGAAAGGGGUGCUAAUACCGGAUACACUUAUGGGUCGCAAGACGUAUAAGGAAAGGAGACGAUCCGCAAGGAGUUUCUGUGUAGAGAUGAGCCUGCGUCCCAUUAGCUAGUUGGUAGGGUAAUGGCCUACCAAGGCGACGAUGGGUAGCGGGUCUGAGAGGAUGAUCCGCCACACUGGAACUGAAACACGGACCAGACUCCUACGGGAGGCAGCAGUGAGGAAUAUUGGACAAUGGGCGCAAGCCUGAUCCAGCGACGCCGCGUGAGUGAUGAAGGCCUUUGGGUCGUAAAGCUCUGUCAGCAGGGAAGAACGGCCGUGUGGUUAAUACCCAUGCGGAUUGACGGUACCUGCAGAGGAAGCACCGGCUAACUCCGUGCCAGCAGCCGCGGUAAUACGGAGGGUGCGAGCGUUAAUCGGAAUUACUGGGCGUAAAGGGCGCGUAGGCGGCCGAUCAAGUCAGAUGUGAAAGCCCACGGCUUAACCGUGUGAAGUGCAUCUGAAACUGGUCGGCUUGAGUAUCGGAGAGGAAAGUGGAAUUCCCGGUGUAGAGGUGAAAUUCGUAGAUAUCGGGAGGAAUACCGGUGGCGAAGGCGACUUUCUGGACGAAUACUGACGCUGAGGCGCGAAAGCGUGGGGAGCAAACAGGAUUAGAUACCCUGGUAGUCC
rnacentral:rRNA from 1 species